AGAAGGGGGAUCAGAGAGCAGACAGAACCACACAUAUGGCUUUUAACCGACUGUAUCUUUCUUCCUGACAGCAAAAGUUUGGAGGUGUGUUGGAGGGUUCUUUUUGGCAUCUGUCCAUCUGUUGGAGACAAAGUUUCUCAUUGGCCGGAAACCUCACCACAAAGUCUCAUAGAUCUUGAAGUGCUCAUGCAGUCAAGCAAGAAGAAGAAGAAGAAGAAGAAGAAGAAGAAGAAGAAGAAGAAGAAGAAGAAGAAGAAGAAGAAGAAGACCCAAUGGGCGUGAGGUCUGAUUUUCAACAUGAAAACCCAAAGCAUUCUUUUAUAACUUUUUUUGAUCACUGUGUAAAUAGUUCAGACGAACUCUUUUUUGAAAGGGCAA
rnacentral:lncRNA from 1 species